rnacentral:rRNA from 1 species
AACGAACGCUGGCGGCAUGCCUAACACAUGCAAGUCGAACGCUCCGCAAGGAGAGUGGCGCACGGGUGAGUAACGCGUGGGAACCUGCCUAUUGGUUCGGAAUAGCGUCUGGAAACGGACGAUAAUACCGGAUAAGCCCUGAGGGGGAAAGAUUUAUCGCCGAUAGAGGGGCCCGCGUCCGAUUAGGUAGUUGGUGGGGUAACGGCCUACCAAGCCGACGAUCGGUAGCUGGUCUGAGAGGAUGAUCAGCCACACUGGGACUGAGACACGGCCCAGACUCCUACGGGAGGCAGCAGUGGGGAAUAUUGGACAAUGGGGGGAACCCUGAUCCAGCAAUGCCGCGUGAGUGAUGAAGGCCUUAGGGUUGUAAAGCUCUUUCGCACGCGACGAUGAUGACGGUAGCGUGAGAAGAAGCCCCGGCUAACUUCGUG